ACAGGGUUUCACCAUGUUGGCCAGGCUGGUCUCGAACUCCUGACUUCCUACCUACCUUGGCCUCCCAAAGUGCUGGGAUUUCAGGCAUGAGCCAUUGAGCCCAGCUUUUAAAAUGCAUAUCACUAACGAUGUAUAUAGUCAAAGAACUCUGUUCUAAAGUCAUUUGAAAUCGUUUUUCUGAGGAAUUAUGUUACUAAAUUAACAUACAGUUGGGUUCAUUUGUUGUUUUCAGUUUAAGGGACAGCUUUUUUUUUUUUUUUUUUUUUGAGAGACCGAGUCUCAUUCUGUCGCCCAGACUGGAGUGCAGUGGUGGGAUCUCGGCUCACUGCAAGCUCUGCCUCCCGGGUUCACGCCAUUCUCCUGCCUCAGCCUCCCCAGCAGCUGGGACUACAGGUGUCAGCCACCAUGCCUGGCUAAUUUUUUGUAUUUUUAGUAGAGACGAGGUUUCACCAUGUUAGCCAGGAUGGUCUCGAGCUCCUGACCUUGUGAUCUGCGCGCCUCGGCCUCCCAAAGUACUGGGAUUACAGGCGUGAGCCACCAUGCCUGGCCAAGGGACUGCUUUUUAAAAAAUGAAUUUGAUUACUGUUGAACAGGUUAUAUGAUCCUCUGUUGAAGCAAGAAGACAAACUGUAUGGUGGAGAAAGAAGUGGGAAGGAUCUGUGCAGAAGAAGCCUGAGAGGAUGAUGCAGAGAGAGAGAGGCACCAGGACUUGGGAGGCACGUUGAUCCAUCUCCAGGAAAGACUGAGAAAAAGAGCAUUGAAUAUAAGAAAAAAUACUUCCUCUGUUCUCAGAUCUUAUUUGUUUUAAGGCCACACCUUUUUGAAGUUUUGAGUUUGAAACACAACCUGGACUGAAAUCACGAGGGAGGUUGUGUAGGAAAGAAUCAUCAAGGGACUUAGUUGGGAGCUUCUCUACCACAGCUUACUCCUUAUGGUAUUAACCCCCUUUAAGUGUAAAUGCCUUUGGUUUAAAACGUUUGUACCUCAUCUGUUACCAGAGUGUUCAUACUGGAGAGAAACCCUAUGAAUUUACUGAAUGUGGGGGAACUGUUACUCAUAUGUUGCAUUUCGUCGAACGUGGAAGUCAUGCUGAAGAGAAACCCUGUGCUUCUAAGGAGUAUUGACAAGCCCUUAGCUAGAUGACAAUCUCAUUGAGAAGCAGAAAAUUCAUGCUGGAGAGAAACUAGUGAAGGUAGCAAUACUUCAUUGAAUAUUAGAAAAUUUUUCUAGAGAGAAAGCAUUGAAUGUACUGAGUAUGAUAACAUUUCCUCUCAAACCUUAUCCCUUAGUCUGCAUUUGGGAGAUCAUACACAGAGAAGCCUUAUAAAUGUAAGAGAUGUGGAAAUAUCUUCAGCCAAAAGUAAAUCCUCACUCAUCAAGAAAUUUUUACUGGAGAGAAACCUUGUGAAUGUGGGAAAGCUUCCAUUCAGAUGUCACACCUCAGCCAGCAGAGAAUUUACAGUGGGGAAAACCCCUUUGCCUGUAAGGUAUGUGGGAAAGUCUUCAGCCACAAGUCAAACCUCACUGAGCAUGAGCAUUUUCACACGAGAGAGAAACCUUUUGAAUGUAAUGAGUGUGGAAAAGCCUUUAGCCAAAAGCAGUAUGUCAUUAAACAUCAGAACACCCAUACCGGCGAGAAGCUUUUCGAAUGUAAUGAAUGUGGAAAAUCCUUUAGCCAGAAGGAAAACCUCCUUACGCACCAGAAAAUUCACACUGGAGAAAAACCUUUUGAGUGUAAAGAUUGCGGGAAAGCUUUCAUUCAGAAGUCAAACCUCAUCAGACACCAGAGAACUCACACAGGAGAGAAGCCCUUUGUAUGUAAGGAGUGUGGAAAAACCUUCAGUGGCAAAUCCAACCUUACUGAGCAUGAGAAAAUCCAUAUUGGAGAGAAGCCUUUUAAAUGUAGUGAAUGUGGAACAGCCUUUGGCCAGAAGAAGUACCUCAUAAAACAUCAGAACAUUCACACUGGAGAGAAACCCUAUGAAUGUAACGAAUGUGGAAAAGCCUUCUCUCAGCGAACAUCACUUAUUGUACAUGUGAGGAUUCAUUCAGGUGAUAAACCUUACGAAUGCAAUGUUUGUGGAAAAGCCUUCUCUCAGAGCUCAUCUCUCACCGUGCAUGUGAGAAGCCAUACAGGGGAGAAGCCCUAUGGUUGUAAUGAAUGUGGGAAAGCUUUCUCUCAGUUCUCAACCCUUGCUCUGCAUUUGAGAAUACACACAGGUAAGAAGCCUUAUCAGUGCAGUGAAUGUGGGAAAGCUUUCAGCCAGAAGUCACACCACAUUAGACACCAGAAAAUUCAUACUCACUAAAAACCCCAUGAACACCUUGAAAGUGGGAAAGCUUUCAUUAGAAAUUUGCAUCUCAUCAUGCCCCAGAAAUAAUCCUUCUGAAGCAAAGCACCAUGAAUGAGGUUAACUUUAACAAGUACUAAAAACUUAAGGGACACCAGAAAAUUUGUACUGAAGAGAAAGACAUGCAUAUGAUUAAAAGCCUGUGUCCAACAGAGAAACCUGCAGCAGAGAUAAUGGUGAAAGUUUAGGCACAUUUUCACUAAAAAUGGGAACAGAAAAUGGAGGCCUGCUUUUUAUUGCUACCACCAUAGAUCUGGAGAUCUUCACCGGUAACAAGAAAAAUAAGUUGUAAAUAUUGGAAAGGAACAGACAAAAAUAGAUGACAUGGUCAUCUACAACUAGUAUUUUAAGACUCCUGUGGUAUUGAUUCAACAGAGCAGAAGAGAUUUCAAAAAAAGACCUAUGCAUUUAUUAGAAUUUGGAAUAUGAUACAAGUGGCAUCAAGAAGUGAGGAAAUAAUGGAACUAUUUUUUUUAAGUGGAGGUAGUUUGUUCUCCAAGGGGGAAAAAUAGACCAUAAACUAUACACAAAAGUGAAUCCAGAGAUUAAAAACAGAAAUAUGGAAAAGCUAUAUACUAAAAUGCAUAUGACCUUGGGAAUAGGGAAACAUUCCUUGGAACAACUUGAGAAAUACUUAGCAGUUCUACUUGUGAGUAUGAAUGCUCAGGAAAUACGCACUAGGAUAUUUACUGUGGCUUGAUUUGUAGUAGCCAAAAAUUAGAAACAACUGAGAAAGCCCAUCACGAACAAUAUGGGAAAUUCUUAUGUAAUACUAUAUAUCUGUAAAAUGCAACAAAUGAAAUCCACAUGUAUUAACAGAAAGAUCCCAAAAUUGUUGAGGGGGAAUCAAGUUGCAGAAUGAUACAGAUAGUACAAUGACUUUUUGUAAAUUUCAAUUAAAAGUUUCCUCACAAAACUCAGUACUAUCUAUUGGUAAUGGAUGCAUGUAUGUAUGUACAUGUUUUUGAAAUGGAUUGGAAGGAUACAGACCAAACUCUUGAUAGUGGUCACCUGUGAAGAGUGGAGAAGGGAAAGUAACAAGUGUGGGAGGUGGGAUGGGUAUUGGUUAAAGGGGACUUCAGCUUUUUAUAUAAACAUCCACUUCUCUUUCAAAAGACUUCAAGUAAAUAUAAGAAGAUACUGAUUGAUUCUGGAUUGUGGUAUAGGGAUAUCUUGUCUUAUUUUUUGUACUUUUCUGUAUUUUUAAAAUUUCUCAAAAUAGGAAUGGGAGUGAGGAUGGGAAUGCUGUAUCUGUGGAAGUCAUGUUAAACUGGAUUCAUUUCCAAUCAAAUACUAAACAUUUUAUAGAAAAUAUUUCUAAAAUUUUAUCACGGAUGAAUGGAUGGACUUGCUCUCUAUGUAAUAUGAAAUUAAUCUAUUUUAUUAAAAUUUAAAAGGACAGCACAAUCCAAA